rnacentral:rRNA from 1 species
GACGAACGCUGGCGGCGUGCUUAACACAUGCAAGUCGAACGGAAAGGCCCUGCUUUUGUGGGGUGCUCGAGUGGCGAACGGGUGAGUAACACGUGAGUAACCUGCCCUUGACUUUGGGAUAACUUCAGGAAACUGGGGCUAAUACCGGAUAGGAGCUCCUGCUGCAUGGUGGGGGUUGGAAAGUUUCGGCGGUUGGGGAUGGACUCGCGGCUUAUCAGCUUGUUGGUGGGGUAGUGGCUUACCAAGGCUUUGACGGGUAGCCGGCCUGAGAGGGUGACCGGCCACAUUGGGACUGAGAUACGGCCCAGACUCCUACGGGAGGCAGCAGUGGGGAAUAUUGCACAAUGGGCGGAAGCCUGAUGCAGCAACGCCGCGUGCGGGAUGACGGCCUUCGGGUUGUGAACCGCUUUCGCCUGUGACGAAGCGUGAGUGACGGUAAUGGGUAAAGAAGCACCGGCUAACUACGU